GGAGUUGUAGCUCAGUGGUAGAGCACUUGCCUUGCAAGCAUGAGGUCCUGAGUUCUAUCCUCAGCACCA
rnacentral:tRNA from 1 species